GAUUUCUGGCACGAUGUACCUGUCCCGCUGCGGUCAACGCAUGUGAGUGACGGAGUAUGUUUGCCAUCCUUCUAGAGAGCGCAAGCUAUCCUUUACUGGACCGGUUUGUGUCAUCUAGAUCUUUUACUUUGAAAAAAUUAGAGUGUUUCAAGCAGGCGUUUUGCUAUGAAUACAUUAGCAUGGAAUAAUGAGUUAGGACUUCGGUUCUAUUUUGUUGGUUUCUAGGACUGAAGUAAUGAUUGAUAGGGAUAGUUGGGGGUGCUAGUAUUCAGCGGCCAGAGGUGAAAUUCUUGGAUUCGCUGAAGACUAACUUAUGCGAAAGCAUU
rnacentral:rRNA from 1 species